AAGAGCAGUUGACAAAAUGAGGAGAUGGGAACCUGUCCCCAUGGAGACCCCAUCUCCCAGAUGUGCUCCAUGCCCUUAACAAUGGCCCACUGGGGAAAUGGAAUCCCCUGGCUGUGCACGGCUGCCCCCAAUUUACAUUAACAAGCUAAAUUGAUUAUUAGAUGAAGUAAAAAAUGAUGCUGUGAAAAUAUCCAAUAGUACUUCCUGUGAGCUCCAACAAACACAAAUGGGGCUCUGCAGAACCACAUGGCCUUGGAUUAUCUGCUUGCUGGCCGGGGAGGAACCUGGGCUAUUGUAGGACAGGAAUGUUGCAGGGAUGUUUAUCAGUGCUGGGUUUGAGGUCCAGCAAUCAGGAAUCUCCUUGAUAGAAAGAUCAGGAGAAGAGUGGCAGAAAGAAGAAAAUUCUUCCUGGUGGGACUGGCUCCCAAAUUGGAGGCUGCUGUGAAAUGCAUUCAUGGCAGUCACUGUGAUCAUUGCGGUGUGAGCACUUGGUGUGUUAUGGUUCCAUGUUAGAGUUGUUGUGACACCUUGUGCUGGAAAUGGAGUACUGAGAUUUGUCUAAAAAGAGACACAGUCUCAAGAAAAAGUGGGCUAUAAUAAAGAACAUAGAGAAUAACAACUAAUUAGGGCUGUUUUAGUCAGACCCUGCCUGACUGAAGCCUCAACAACAGGCCCCGAGCCAAAGCUGACCUUUAGAUAAACCUUCCAACCAAAUGUUAUAUUUGUAUCUGCUCAUUAAUGAAUCAUUAUUAGCAAUAUGAUCUCUGUAUGUGUUCAUUGGUGAAACAUGGAUUUACCUUUCUGUGUUUGGAAACUGGAGAAGGCCCCAUCUGGCUUUGUUUGGGGCUGUGGGAUCAAAGUCACCUCCCUUGGCUCCUCCUUGAGCCGUGGCCAGGCUUUGGAAGAAGCCAAACAGGAGAAUUAAACCAGUUAUUCCCACACUAGCGCUGAUGUCAGCUUGUUUGUUUAACAGUGUAAAAGCUGUGGCCUCUCACAGUGAGGUUGGAGCCUCACUGGCUGCAAAGGUGGAGGCACCUGCAGGAAUUCCCAGUGUCCAGGAGUGGCUCUCCAGUCUGUGGCUGUGAAAGGGUUAAAAGCACUGUGCCCAGGCAUACUUGGGCAAGAAUAAGAGACAUUGCACCCAGUAUGGACGCUUGCAAAAAUUCAGCCACAAGCUAAAGACACAGGAUGAAACUUUGCAAGAAAUAGGGAACAAAACUGGCAGGAAUGAAGGGCAGAGCUUGCUAAAGCCAGUGAGGAAAUUGCUGAAACAGCCAACAAGAGACUGCGCAUGCCUAGAGGAGAAAGCUGAAAAGGGCACGGUGAUGAAGACGUCCAGCCUUCAUCAGGAGACCCCCGAGGAAGACGCAGAGCCUUCCUCAGUGCCACCACCAGUGUGCACUGCACCUGUGCCUCGUGUAUGCUAAUGAUUGUAAUGAGUGCUGAGAAAUCGUUUAUAUAACCUCACCUUUUCUGAGGAGAAAUAUGAAUAUGCAUAGAGUAUAACUGUAUAUUGUAAUCUGCUGUGUGCCUGUGUGCGCUGUUAGGAGGAGAUAUCCCUGCACACCCAGCAGGCUGAAUAAAGCAAAUCCCCUCCUUGGGCUUUGUCUGGGAAGUGUCUCUUGGCCCGAUUUGGGGCCAUUCACGUCCAUGGGGUUCUGUCAAGUCACAGUGGAACCUUGGUGCCCUGUUGUUGCACAGCCUCACAAUGCUCUCCUGCUGCCAUGAGGUCCCUCCCUUGGUGACACACUGCAGCCCUGGUUCCAUGAGGGGCUCUUGGCUUCCAUGGUGCCGGCCUUUUUCACACCUGAGCCUUGCUUCCAUGGGUUCCAUGGACUGACAGGGGCCCUCUGCAUUCCAUGGGGCCCAGCUAGAUCACAGCAGAGCCUGGCUUUCAUCAGGUUCUGAUACCUGUUCUGCCAGCUGACUGGGGUGAUUUAAAGAACACAGAAACCAAUGGGAAGAGUGGUCUUAUUUUACUGUGAGUGUUAAGGCAACACAAAAGUUAAAUUAUGCAUUCAAUAAAACUACCUGCUUGGCUUUAGCAACAAGCAAAAAGAAGCAAGAGUCUGCAGUUGCUGAAAGGUCCCAUUUCACAGCAAGGACCUGGAGAACUCUUCCAAGAGAUUGGGAAAAUCCCAUGUGGUGCAUCCACCCAUAGGUAACUACACAAGAUUAUGUGGAAGUCUCCACAGCAGCUGGUUUGGUUUUAAACAGCAGCAGAAUCAUAUGGGUCAUCUGUUUUUAGCUCAAUAAAACUGAUGGUGUUAGUCACAUAAUGCCCAGGGUUUGUCCUGUAAGUCAGCUCUGGCUGAGGCUGCCACUCAGGCCUGAGCACAUCAGAAGCUGAAGUGACCACGACUGGGAAUGGCAAAAACACCCCACUGGGACUGGCCCAGAGGCCCCAGGACUCCUUGGCAUGGAUCACCUCAGGAGACAGCAUUUCAGGGAGCCCAAAGGACUUUUGGAAGAGAUGCUGUGGAGACAGAAGAAUUCCACAGCUGAAUCCCUUGCCUGGGCUCCCAGAGGACCCUUCUGCUGUGGGGCUGCUGAGGGUGGAGGAACAGCAG